ensembl:snRNA Gm25475 predicted gene, 25475
AUUGCUUCUUGGCCUUUUGGAUAAGAUCAAGUGUAGUAUCUGUUCUUAUCAGUCUCAUAUCUGAUAUGUCCUUUAUCCAAGGACAAUAUAUAUAUAUAUAUAUUUUAAACAUUUAUUUAUUAUUAUAUGUAAGUACACUAUAGCUGUCUUCAGACACACCAGAAGAAGGUGUCAGAUCUC